GACGAACGCUGGCGGCGUGCUUAACACAUGCAAGUCGAACGGAAAGGCCCUGCUCUUGUGGGGUGCUCGAGUGGCGAACGCGUGAGUAACACGUGAGUAACCUGCCCUUGACUUUGGGAUAACUUCAGGAAACUGGGGCUAAUACCGGAUAGGAGCUCCUGCUGCAUGGUGGGGGUUGGAAAGUUUCGGCGGUUGGGGAUGGACUCGCGGCUUAUCAGCUUGUUGGUGGGGUAGUGGCUUACCAAGGCUUUGACGGGUAGCCGGCCUGAGAGGGUGACCGGCCACAUGGGGACUGAGAUACGGCCCAGACUCCUACGGGAGGCAGCAGUGGGGAAUAUUGCGGAAUGGGCGGAAGCCUGAUGCAGCAACGCCGCGUGCGGGAUGACGGCCUUCGGGUUGUAAACCGCUUUCGCAGGUGACGAAGCGUGAGUGACGGUAAUGGGUAAAGAAGCACCGGCUAACUACGUG
rnacentral:rRNA from 1 species